rnacentral:lncRNA from 1 species
UGCUGACUAUUUCUCGACCGCGAAAGUCUUCAAUGUUAGAUUUUUGCAGGAUCACAUGGUUUGACGGCCGCACGGUUCCCGUUUGACUGACGACUGGCGUCGCAGCGUGCGAUCACAACCACAUCUCCCCGGCAUCGGCGCAAGCGCAUUGCAUCGCCCUGACGCACUCGCUUUGCCCGAAGAAAUUAUUGUAUGACCCCCGAUCCUUCCUAGCCCAUCCAAGUUGAUGACGUGUCAAAUGCUGAUUGGUUAUGAAAGCGUUUUUGGUGCUCCUACCGAAUUCAAAGCCCGCAGGUAUGCUGCAGUAUAUAUGCACCCAACCAGAAUAGUCUUAGCCAACAAUGCAUGCUGUUGACAAC